UACACCUUAUUGUAUGAUGCAUAAGAAUUUUUGAUAUUCUUGGUAACAGUUUAAUUCUGUUAAGUGUAA
rnacentral:tRNA from 1 species